rnacentral:rRNA from 1 species
AGAUUGAACGCUGGCGGCGUGCUUAACACAUGCAAGUCGAGCGGUAACGCGGGAGCAAUCCUGGCGACGAGCGGCGAACGGGUGAGUAAUGCUUGGGAAUCUGCCCAUUAGUGGGGAACAACCAGCCGAAAGGUUGGCUAAUACCGCAUACGCCCUACGGGGGAAAGCGGGGGAUCGUAAGACCUCGCGCUAAUGGAUGAGCCCAAGUCGGAUUAGCUUGUUGGUAGGGUAACGGCCUACCAAGGCGACAAUCCGUAGCUGGUCUGAGAGGACGACCAGCCACACUGGGACUGAGACACGGCCCAGACUCCUACGGGAGGCAGCAGUGGGGAAUAUUGGACAAUGGGGGCAACCCUGAUCCAGCGACGCCGCGUGUGUGAAGAAGGCCUGCGGGUUGUAAAGCACUUUUAGUGGGAUGAAAAGCUCAGGGUUAACACCUCUGGGUCUUGACCUAACCACAGAAAAGCACCGGCUAACUCUGUGCCAGCAGCCGC